rnacentral:rRNA from 1 species
GAUGAACGCUGGCGGCGUGCCUAAUACAUGCAAGUCGAGCGAACAGACGAGGAGCUUGCCCCUCUGACGUUAGCGGCGGACGGGUGAGUAACACGUGGAUAACCUACCUAUAAGACUGGGAUAACUUCGGGAAACCGGAGCUAAUACCGGAUAAUAUAUUGAACCGCAUUGUUCAAUAGUGAAAGACGGUUUUGCUGUCACUUAUAGAUGGAUCCGCGCCGCAUUAUCUAGUUGGUAAGGUAACGGCUUACCAAGGCAACGAUGCGUAGCCGACCUGAGAGGGUGAUGGGCCACACUGGAACUGAGACGCGGUCCAGACUCCUACGGGAGGCAGCGGUAGGGAAUCUUCCGCAAUGGGCGAAAGCCUGACGGAGCAACGACGCGUGAGUGAUGAAGGUCUGCGGAUCGUAAAACUCUGUUAUUGGGGAAGAACAAAUGUGUAAGUAACUAUGCACGUCUUGACGGUACCUAAGCAGAAAGCCACGGCUAACUACGU